rnacentral:rRNA from 1 species
UACGUAGGCAGCGAGCGUUAUUCGGAUUCACUGGGCGUAAAGGGUGCGCAGGCGGCCAUGUGUGUCAGGUGUGAAAGCCCGAGGCUCAACCUCGGAAUUGCGCCUGAAACUACAUGGCUAGAGUACUGGAGAGGGUAGCGGAAUUCAUGGUGUAGCAGUGAAAUGCGUAGAUAUCAUGAGGAACACCAGAGGCGAAGGCGGCUACCUGGACAGUUACUGACGCUCAGGCAGCGAAAGCGUGGGGAGCAAAAGGG